AUACGUAGGUGGCAAGCGUUGUCCGGAUCUACUGGGUGUAAAGGGCGUGUAGCCGGGCCGACAAGUCAGAUGUGAAAUCCGCGGGCUUAACCAGCGAACUGCAUUUGAAACUGUUGGUCUUGAGUAUCGGAGAGGUAAUCGGAAUUCCUAGUGUAGCGGUGAAAUGCGUAGAUAUUAGGAAGAACACCAGUGGCGAAGGCGGAUUACUGGACGACAACUGACGGUGAGGCGCGAAAGCGUGGGGAGC
rnacentral:rRNA from 1 species